rnacentral:rRNA from 1 species
GGACGGGGGCCCGCACAAGCGGUGGAGCAUGUGGUUUUAAUCGAUGAUACGCGAGGAACCUUACCUGGGCUCAAAUGUAUGUUGACGUAUUCUGAAAGGGAUACUUCUUCGGACAAUAUACAAGGUGCUGCAUGGUUGUCGUCAGCUCGUGCCGUGAGGUGUCGGGUUAAGUCCCAUAACGAGCGCAACCCCUAUCAUUAGUUGCCAUCAGGUAAUGCUGGGGACUCUAAAGGAACUGCCUACGCAAGUAGUGAGGAAGGCGGGGAUGACGUCAAAUCAGCACGGCCCUUACGUCCAGGGCUACACACGUGCUACAAUGGCCGAUACAGAGGGCAGCUACCUGGUGACAGGAUGCAAAUCUCCAAAGUCGGUCUCAGUUCGGAUCGGAGUCUGCAACCCGACUCCGUGAAGUUGGAUUCGCUAGUAAUCGCGCAUCAGCCAUGGCGCGGUGAAUACGUUCCCGGGCCUU